rnacentral:rRNA from 1 species
UACGAAGGGGGCUAGCGUUGCUCGGAAUCACUGGGCGUAAAGCGCACGUAGGCGGACUCUUAAGUCGGUGGUGAAAUCCUGGAGCUCAACUCCAGAACUGCCUUCGAUACUGAGAGUCUCGAGUCCGGAAGAGGUGAGUGGAACUGCGAGUGUAGAGGUGAAAUUCGUAGAUAUUCGCAAGAACACCAGUGGCGAAGGCGGCUCACUGGCCCGGUACUGACGCUGAGGUGCGAAAGCGUGGGGAGCAAACAGG